GACGAACGCUAGCGGCGUGCCUAAUACAUGCAAGUAGAACGCUGAAGAGAGGAGCUUGCUCUUCUUGGAUGAGUUGCGAACGGGUGAGUAACGCGUAGGUAACCUGCCUGGUAGCGGGGGAUAACUAUUGGAAACGAUAGCUAAUACCGCAUGAUAUUAAUUGUCGCAUGAUAAUUAAUUGAAAGAUGCAAUUGCAUCACUACCAGAUGGACCUGCGUUGUAUUAGCUAGUUGGUGAGGUAACGGCUCACCAAGGCGACGAUACAUAGCCGACCUGAGAGGGUGAUCGGCCACACUGGGACUGAGACACGGCCCAGACUCCUACGGGAGGCAGCAGUAGGGAAUCUUCGGCAAUGGGGGGAACCCUGACCGAGCAACGCCGCGUGAGUGAAGAAGGUUUUCGGAUCGUAAAGCUCUGUUGUAAGAGAAGAACGGGUGUGAGAGUGGAAAGUCCACACUGUGACGG
rnacentral:rRNA from 1 species